UAAGUUAAUAAGGGCGCACGGUGGAUGCCUUGGCACUAGGAGCCGACGAAGGACGUGACAAACGACGAUAUGCCUUGGGUAGCUGUAAGUAAGCGAUGAUCCAGGGAUUUCCGAAUGGGGGAACCCAACAGGUAAUACCUGUUACCUACAUCUGUUAAGGAUGUGAGGAGGAAGACGCAGUGAACUGAAACAUCUAAGUAGCUGCAGGAAGAGAAAGCAAAAGCGAUUGCCUUAGUAGCGGCGAGCGAAACGGCAGAAGGGCAAACCGAAGAGUUUACUCUUCGGGGUUGUAGGACUGCAAUGUGGACUCAAAGAUUAUAGAAGAAUGAUUUGGGAAGAUCAGCCAAAGAGAGUAAUAGCCUCGUAUUUAAAAUAGUCUUUGUACUUAGCAGUAUCCUGAGUACGGCGGGACACGUGAAAUCCCGUCGGAAUCUGGGAGGACCAUCUCCCAACCCUAAAUACUCCCUAGUGACCGAUAGUGAACCAGUACCGUGAGGGAAAGGUGAAAAGCACCCCGGGAGGGGAGUGAAAUAGAACCUGAAACCGUGUGCCUACAACAAGUUCGAGCCCGUUAAUGGGUGAGAGCGUGCCUUUUGUAGAAUGAACCGGCGAGUUACGUUAUGAUGCGAGGUUAAGUUGAAGAGACGGAGCCGUAGGGAAACCGAGUCUGAAUAGGGCGCCUUAGUAUCAUGACGUAGACCCGAAACCAUGUGACCUACCCAUGAGCAGGUUGAAGGUGCGGUAAGACGCACUGGAGGACCGAACCAGGGCACGUUGAAAAGUGCUUGGAUGACUUGUGGGUAGCGGAGAAAUUCCAAACGAACUUGGAGAUAGCUGGUUCUCUCCGAAAUAGCUUUAGGGCUAGCGUCGACAUUAGAGAUUCUUGGAGGUAGAGCACUGUUUGGGUGAGGGGUCCAUCCCGGAUUACCAAUCUCAGAUAAACUCCGAAUGCCAAUGAAUUAUGGUCGGCAGUCAGACUGCGAGUGCUAAGAUCCGUAGUCGAAAGGGAAACAGCCCAGACCACCAGCUAAGGUCCCAAAAUAAUUGUUAAGUGGAAAAGGAUGUGGGGUUGCACAGACAACUAGGAUGUUAGCUUAGAAGCAGCUAUUCAUUCAAAGAGUGCGUAAUAGCUCACUAGUCGAGUGACCCUGCGCCGAAAAUGUACCGGGGCUAAAACAAUUUACCGAAGCUGUGGAUACCUUUAUAGGUAUGGUAGGAGAGCGUUCUAUGUGUGAUGAAGGUAUACCGUGAGGAGUGCUGGAACGCAUAGAAGUGAGAAUGCCGGUAUGAGUAGCGAAAGACAGGUGAGAAUCCUGUCCACCGUAAGACUAAGGUUUCCAGGGGAAGGCUCGUCCGCCCUGGGUUAGUCGGGACCUAAGGAGAGACCGAAAGGUGUAUCCGAUGGACAACAGGUUGAUAUUCCUGUACUAGAGUAUGUAGUGAUGGAGGGACGCAGUAGGCUAACUAAAGCAGACGAUUGGAAGAGUCUGUCUAAGCAGUGAGGUGUGAAUUGAGUCAAAUGCUUAAUUCUAUAACAUUGAGCUGUGAUGGGGAGCGAAGUUUAGUAGCGAAGUUAGUGACGUCACACUGCCAAGAAAAGCUUCUAGCGUUUAAACAUACUCUACCCGUACCGCAAACCGACACAGGUAGUCGAGGCGAGUAGCCUCAGGUGAGCGAGAGAACUCUCGUUAAGGAACUCGGCAAAAUGACCCCGUAACUUCGGGAGAAGGGGUGCUGACUUUAAGUCAGCCGCAGUGAAUAGGCCCAAGCAACUGUUUAUCAAAAACACAGCUCUCUGCUAAAUCGUAAGAUGAUGUAUAGGGGGUGACGCCUGCCCGGUGCUGGAAGGUUAAGAGGAGUGCUUAGCGUAAGCGAAGGUAUGAAUUGAAGCCCCAGUAAACGGCGGCCGUAACUAUAACGGUCCUAAGGUAGCGAAAUUCCUUGUCGGGUAAGUUCCGACCCGCACGAAAGGCGUAAUGAUUUGGGCACUGUCUCAACGAGAGACUCGGUGAAAUUUUAGUACCUGUGAAGAUGCAGGUUACCCGCGACAGGACGGAAAGACCCCAUGGAGCUUUACUGCAGUUUGAUAUUGAGUGUCUGUACCACAUGUACAGGAUAGGUAGGAGUCUAAGAGAUCGGGACGCCAGUUUCGAAGGAGACGCUGUUGGGAUACUACCCUUGUGUUAUGGCCACUCUAACCCAGAUAGGUGAUCCCUAUCGGAGACAGUGUCUGACGGGCAGUUUGACUGGGGCGGUCGCCUCCUAAAAGGUAACGGAGGCGCCCAAAGGUUCCCUCAGAAUGGUUGGAAAUCAUUCGCAGAGUGUAAAGGUAUAAGGGAGCUUGACUGCGAGAGCUACAACUCGAGCAGGGACGAAAGUCGGGCUUAGUGAUCCGGUGGUUCCGUAUGGAAGGGCCAUCGCUCAACGGAUAAAAGCUACCCUGGGGAUAACAGGCUUAUCUCCCCCAAGAGUUCACAUCGACGGGGAGGUUUGGCACCUCGAUGUCGGCUCGUCGCAUCCUGGGGCUGUAGUCGGUCCCAAGGGUUGGGCUGUUCGCCCAUUAAAGCGGCACGCGAGCUGGGUUCAGAACGUCGUGAGACAGUUCGGUCCCUAUCCGUCGCGGGCGUAGGAAAUUUGAGAGGAUCUGCUCCUAGUACGAGAGGACCAGAGUGGACUUACCGCUGGUGUACCAGUUGUCUUGCCAAAGGCAUCGCUGGGUAGCUAUGUAGGGAAGGGAUAAACGCUGAAAGCAUCUAAGUGUGAAACCCACCUCAAGAUGAGAUUUCCCAUGAUUAUAUAUCAGUAAGAGCCCUGAGAGAUGAUCAGGUAGAUAGGUUAGAAGUGGAAGUGUGGCGACACAUGUAGCGGACUAAUACUAAUAGCUCGAGGACUUAUCCG
rnacentral:rRNA from 1 species